rnacentral:rRNA from 1 species
UACGUAGGGUGCGAGCGUUUAAUCGGAAUUACUGGGCGUAAAGCGUGCGCAGGCGGUUCGUUGUGUCGGUGGUGAAAUCCCCGGGCUUAACCUGGGAAUGGCCAUGGAAACUGGCGAACUGGAGUGUGGCAGAGGGGGGUGGAAUUCCGCGUGUAGCAGUGAAAUGCGUAGAGAUGCGGAGGAACACCGAUGGCGAAGGCAGCCCCCUGGGCUAACACUGACGCUCAGGCACGAAAGCGUGGGGAGCAAACAGG